UUUUGUUGGGUAAACCCAUUAGUACAUCAGCUGCUACUAGGCCUUCUGAAAUGGGGACCCUGAAGAACUUUUUGGCUCCAAGUUAUGAGAUUGCUUCAUUGAGGACUGAAUAUCGAGAUGUCCAUGAUCAUGGAGCAGGGACACAGUGUGAUUUAUCAUUGAAGUUGGGGUUUUCUUCAGACCCAUGGGAAAGAGGUGCUGGUCAUGAUCCUUCUCUACCAAACAACCAGGAGUUCAGCUUUUUCCCUGGUAAUAGCAAUAGUAAUAGUAAUGAGU
rnacentral:lncRNA from 1 species